rnacentral:rRNA from 1 species
UUUUGCGCAAUGGGCGAAAGCCUGACGCAGCGACGCCGCGUGAGGGAUGAAGGUCUUAGGAUUGUAAACCUCUGUCAGGAAGCAUUAAAUGUACGGAUGCCAACACCAUCCGUGCUUGACUUAACUUCCAGAGGAAGCACCGGCUAACUCCGUGCCAGCAGCCGCGGUAAUACGGAGGGUGCGAGCGUUGUUCGGAAUUAUUGGGCGUAAAGCGCACGUAGGCGGCCCGUUAAGUCUCAUGGUGAAAGGCCGGGGCUCAACCCCGAGCAAGCCGGGGAUACUGGGGGGCUGGAGACAGGCAGAGGCCAGCGGAAUUCCGGGUGUAGCGGUGGAAUGCGUAGAGAUCCGGAAGAACACCGGAGGCGAAGGCGGCUGGCUGGGCCUGAUCUGACGCUGAGGUGCGAAAGCGUGGGGAGC